UUGGUAUGUUUUCGGUGGUUGGCUCCCUUGCUUGUGCAUAACUUCCACCAGACAUGCGUAUUUGUUCGUCCGUUAAGGCUGUGAACGCCUGAACAUAUUGCGGGUUUCUUGUGUUGCCUGCCUAAACAAACGGUAUUUGAUUUGGCUUAUCAAAGUUACGUACGUCUUUCGUCAUGCCUGUGACGUUAGAUGGACCCUAAACAUGUCUCUUUGAACCACAUCAUUAAUGCGUUGUCUUGAUGUAGUGGUGCACUGAGCCUUGUUUGGUCUCUUCGAUGUAGUGCUUUAUGUGGGCAGGGGUCUGCUAGGAUCCUUGUUAUGUCCUUGGCUAGUGUUUACGCUCUGUAAAAUGACUGCUUGAUACGUAAAAGCGUGUUAGGCUUCGUCUAAAAGGAAUGUUACCUGGU
rnacentral:misc_RNA from 1 species